UAACUUUUGGUGUAUGGCACAUUAAAUUUUGAUUUUAAAGGAAAUGACUCAAUUCAUUGAAGUUAA
rnacentral:tRNA from 1 species